UACGGAGGGGGCGAGCGUUGUUCGGAGUUACUGGGCGUAAAGCGCACGUAGGCGGUGCGGUAAGUCAGGGGUUAAAGGCUGCAGCUCAACUGCAGUAAGGCCUUUGAUACUAUCGUGCUAGAGUGUCAGAGAGGAUGGCGGAAUUCCCGGUGUAGCGGUGAAAUGCGUAGAUAUCGGGAGGAAUACCGGUGGCGAAGGCGGCCCUCUGGACGGUAACUGACGCUGAGGCGCGAAAGCGUGGGGAGCAAACAGG
rnacentral:rRNA from 1 species